GACGAACGCUGGCGGCGUGCUUAACACAUGCAAGUCGAACGGAAAGGCCCUGCUUUUGUGGGGUGCUCGAGUGGCGAACGGGUGAGUAACACGUGAGUAACCUGCCCUUGACUUUGGGAUAACUUCAGGAAACUGGGGCUAAUACAGGAUAGGAGCUCCUGCUGCAUGGUGGGGGUUGGAAAGUUUCGGCGGUUGGGGAUGGACUCGCGGCUUAUCAGCUUGUUGGUGGGGUAGUGGCUUACCAAGGCUUUGACGGGUAGCCGGCCUGAGAGGGUGACCGGCCACAUUGGGACUGAGAUACGGCCCAGACUCCUACGGGAGGCAGCAGUGGGGAAUAUUGCACAAUGGGCGGAAGCCUGAUGCAGCAACGCCGCGUGCGGGAUGACGGCCUUCGUGUUGUAAACCGCUUUCGCCUGUGACGAAGCGUGAGUGACGGUAAUGGGUAAAGAAGCACCGGCUAACUACGUG
rnacentral:rRNA from 1 species